rnacentral:rRNA from 1 species
GAUGAACGCUGGCGGCGCGCCUAACACAUGCAAGUCGAACGAGCAAGAGAGAGCUUGCUUUCUCGAGCGAGUGGCGAACGGGUGAGUAACGCGUGAGGAACCUGCCUCAAAGAGGGGGACAACAGUUGGAAACGGCUGCUAAUACCGCAUAAGCGCACGGCAUCGCAUGAUGCAGUGUGAAAAACUCCGGUGGUAUAAGAUGGACCCGCGUUGGAUUAGCUAGUUGGUGAGGUAACGGCCCACCAAGGCGACGAUCCAUAGCCGACCUGAGAGGGUGACCGGCCACAUUGGGACUGAGACACGGCCCAAAACUCCUACGGGAGGCAGCAGUGGGGAAUAUUGCACAAUGGGCGAAAGCCUGAUGCAGCGACGCCGCGUGAGCGAAGAAGUAUUUCGGUAUGUAAAGCUCUAUCAGCAGGGAAGAUAAAUGACGGUACCUGACUAAGAAGCACCGGCUAAAUACGUAGCCAGCAGCC